ensembl:lincRNA
GACGCUUCUCCGCACGCCUGGGACGAAGGGAACGUCGGGAUCGGAACCGGCCCACUUCUCCUUCCCCAGAGGGGACUUCACGGGUUCUGGUUUGGAGUCCGGCACCCCUCGGAGAGUCCCUCCAGGGUGUCUGAGUUGCACCCAGCCUGUGCCUUCACAACUCGAUGCAGGGACCCGAGGAGGCGCGCGAGGACCGACCGGUCACCGCUCCAAUUACCUCAUCGUUUCAGCUCCCCGCCCCUUUCCCAAACCUGGAAGAACUGUCCCCUCCGGUCCCGGUCACCGCUCCCGCCCCGCGUCCCCCACCCCCACCCCCAAUCCCGAGCGGGUCUCGGGGAAACGCGCCCGCCUCCCCGGGGGGACUGCCGGGCCCGGAGAUGCGCGCACCCAAGGGUUAAGGGCGCCGGCCGGCGGCCGCGCCGUGCGCUCUCGGUGCUCAGAGCGGCUCGCCCCGCCGCCCCGCCGGAGGGUGGCCCCCCCAACCCCCCCGAAGUCGGAUCCUUGAGCUGCGGCGGCGGCAGCCAACUGCUCCAUAUUUGGCUUCUAUUACACAUUUACAUACUGGAGCGAGCAAGCGAGCGAGCGCGAGAGAGCGCGAGGGAGGGCGGGCGGAGGGAGGAGGGAGGAGGGAGGGAGGAGAGGGGGGGAGGAGGAGGAGAGAGCAGAGUAUACCGCAGACAUCAUUUCUACUACAGUGGCGGAGCCGUACAGGACCUGUUUCACUGCAGGGGGAUCCAAAACAAGCCCCGUGGAGCAGCAGCCAGAGCUACAGCAGCCGCAAGACACUGUUUCUCUCCCUCUGCCCCCCCUUCCCCACGCAACCCCAGAUCCAUUUACACUUUACAGAGGAUCUGGCUGCAAAUCACCGAGGUGUUCCAUUCAAGCUGCAGAGUUGUCUGUCGUCUUUGGACAGCAGUCUCCUCCUCCACGGCUGCUUCGGGGGAGUCCGACACCCAUCAGGGUUUACAACUUAUCAGCUGUGUGUUGUGGCUUCUAACGCUGUGACUGCUCUAAGCCCAUCAAGAGGUUAAUUACUUGUAAAGAAUAAGGAGCUGCUGGAGACCUGUCACACGUCCAGGAGAGCUUUGGAGUUUACCUCUUCGGUAAUGUGAAUAAACAAAUGUCCUCCAUGUAUCUAGUUUCCAAGUGGAGGCAUGACAGUACUGGGCUGUGUAGCCUGGAGAAGGUCAAGUUGCCGAUGGCAUUGAGAUCUGAAUAUCAUGAUCCAUCAGGACUGUCUGUAUUCUCCGAGAGCUUCUCCAACCAGAGAACAAAUAAUACUUUUUAAAAAACAACUUAUUCCUCUAUGGUUUACCAUUUAAACCUUUUUUUUUUUUCAUUUUUAAAAUUGAAAUAUAAUUUGUGGUGUUUCAGGUAUACAGCAAAAUGAUUCAGUUAUAUAUAAAUAUUUAGUUAUGUAUAUAUAUUCAGUUUUUGAUUCUUUUUCAUUAUGAAUUAUUAUAAGAUGUUGACUAUAGUUUCUUGUGCUAUACAGUAGGUCUUAAAUAGUACCAUUUUUGAUUGUUUCAUCUUGUUCUCCUGUAGUUGCUAAAAACUCCAAAUGAGGAAACAAAUGAGAACAUUUAUCAAAAAACAUUCUAAUUGCCAGCACAGUUCAUCUUCUUUCCCAUUCUUUUCUGUCUGGAGUGGAAUAGCCCCAGGCCUUUAAACUUGCUUUCCUAUGACUUAAGCAGUCCCAGGCAUUUUAGCCCCAUAAUACUGCCUGACUCACAGGCUCUGUCCUGAAGAGUAUUGUCUUGAUUUGCUUUAAAAUAUACCAGACAGGAAAUUCCUGCUGCAUAUAGGAAAGGUAUAUGUUUACACACACAAACACACACCACCAAGCAUAUCUAUUUUCAUGCUUCCUUUCAGUAAAGCAUUGAGAGGAAGGAAGAACUAUCUAACCAGCUUUUGGUAGUUGGCAGGAAUGUGAUUAGUGGGAAUCUCAAGAUGUUACGUUUAAUUUUUGAAGUAGUUUAUUGGUAGUUCUAGAAUGGCAGUGCAUUUUAGGUAGCCCCAUUACUUCCAUGGUAGUUCAGAUGGUAAAGAAUCUUCCUAUAAUGCAGGAGACUUGGGUUCAAUCCCUGGGUCAAGAAGAUCCCCUAAAGGAGGGGAUGGCUACCCACUCCAGUAUUCUUGCCUGGAGAAUUCCAUGGACAGAGGAGCCUGGCAGGCUAUCCAGUUCAUGGGAUCGCAAAAGAGUCGGACAUAACUGAGUGGCUAACAUUUUCAUUUUCGUUUGUUAUUGAGUAGGACAGCAAGGGUCACCAGGAAUAUUCUGUAGAAAGUGGGCGUAUAAGGAACUCCUUCUUUUCCCCAUUCCCCUUAUUUUAUUUUUUGGUUUGCUGUUUUAUGUUGAGCGAGGAUGGUUAUAUUCCAUCAACAGCAUGUUACAACUUGUCGAAAAUUACUCAGCCUUCAAUGUUAGUGUGCUUCAGUGUUGAACAGGUACUUAACCGUUUCUGAGUUUCCUCAGAGAACCGUGGGCAAAGGCCAGAGUCAGGCAUUUUUCCUGUCACUGAGAUAGAGGCCUCAACCAGGAAAGCCUUGAACUCUUAACUGAGUUGAUAGACUAGUACCACCUUACCUCUGGAGUUAAGCUUAGGGCCCUCUUUCUUCUUAUUCUUUCUGUGACUUCAGAGCUAUUUCAAGAAUUAUUUCUUGGGGCUUCCCUGUUGGUCCAUUGGCUAAGACUCUACCACUUCAGCCUGGGUUUGAUCCCCGGUCAGAGAACUAGAUCCCACGUGCCCAGCUAAGACCAGCACAGCCACCGCCACCCCCACCUCCUGCCCGCCCACCAAAAAAAGGAAGAAGAGGAAUUAUUUCUUCUAAGAAAAAUUAUUCACUUGUACCAUGUGUGUUUUCCCAGGUUAUAGGAGAGGGAUGGACUCCCAAGAGGCAGAGAUUUCAUCAGUCCAUUUUUUUUAAAAAAACAAGGUUUUUUAAGAAAAGCCAGGAAAUGAUAUGUUUCAUAUUCAUGGAAAUUCAUCAAAGUUGCUUUGGCCUACUAUCUCCUGACUGCUUUUUACUUUAGGUAACCGCUGUGAUACAACUGCCUGGAGUUUGAAAAUAAGCUGGAGAGCUAAUGCUAUUAGUAAGUUCUCAACUGUUAGUGCUGCAGGAACUCAGUGAGCAUAAUCCACAAGUGGUCCCUGGAGGAACUGAGUUUUCAUGGGAAUGUUAUAUACCUUUGCUGUUAGAAGCAUGAUGGUGUUAAAGGUGGCUACGUAAAGGACAGUUUCUGUAUGCCUUAUAUUGGAUUUGAUGAGAACUUCGGACAGAGGUUUUUUUCCAGCCUCUUAGUUGCUAUGGCAAUACUGAUUUUUAUUCAGGUUUGGUGACCUCUACAAGUACCAAAUAAAGUUAAGUAUGAUAAAGGAAGCCAUAUGUGUCCUAAAUACGGAUAUAUAGAUUGAAUUUACUUGCAUGUUUGCCUUCAUUCCCCUGGUGCUUAUUAUCGUGUGUGUGUGGGUGUGGGUGUGUGUGUGUGUGUGUGUGUGUGUGUGUGUGUGUGUGUGUGGUGUGUAUGUGUUUUUAUUCUUUUAUCCAGGCUUCUUGAGGAAAAAAAAAAAGAGACACUGAUUCAUAGUAUCAUUGUCUUUUGUUUUCCCAGGAAAAUUCUGGGUUUGUUACUAAAUUCAUUUUUCUAUAAUCCUGAGUUUAAUCUCUCCAGAUAAAUCUUUUUUUGUUCCCCCUCUUGCAGACACAAGGCACUUUGCUUUGUUUAUGUUAAUAGAAGUCAGGUUCAUCUCAAAGAAUUAGAAGAAAUGCCAGUGAUUUCUUAGGGCUCUUAAGUAUGAUUUUUUCCCCCUUGUUUCUUAAUAUAUUGCCCUUUAUGGACUUUCGUUUUAGGUGUCUGAAGGUGAGAUUGGAAGAUUCUAUGAAUUUACUGGUCAUAUCAGAUGGUCUGGUCACUACCAAAUAUAUUAACAUAUCUGUAAAGUAAACCCUUUUGGAUAUUUUCUCGUGACAAAAGUAGAAAGUUUAAUUUUGGAGAUGAAGAGGUUUUUCAGAUAUAUUAACUAGAUUUUGUUACAGUGAGGUGAGAGUACUUUUCAAUGGAACAUUUCUUAUGUACCAGCCAGUGGAUGGCUUGGCUUUCUGGUUGUAAUUACAUGCCAAAGGCUUGGUGGUUAUUAUUUUAGAAGUUGAGUUCAUCAUGGAUUCCCCAAGCACGAAGAGUAGUGCACCCUGAUUGUCCACAUUAAGAUUGUAAUUCCAUCCAGGGUUUACGGUGUCAUCAUAGAAACUAGAUGGAAUUACAGCCCCAGGCACAUUUUGGAAGAC